UUGACCUCAAAUCAGGUAGGACUACCCGCUGAACUUAAGCAUAUCAAUAAGCGGAGGAAAAGAAACUAACAAGGAUUCCCCUAGUAACUGCGAGUGAAGCGGGAAAAGCUCAAAUUUUGAAUCUGGCGGUCUUUGCAGGCCGUCCGAGUUGUAAUCUAGAGAAGCGUCUUCCGCGCCGGCCUGUGUACAAGUCUCCUGGAAGGGAGCGUCAUAGAGGGUGAGAAUCCCGUCUCUGACACGGACCACCGGUGCUAUGUGAUGCGCUCUCGACGAGUCGAGUUGUUUGGGAAUGCAGCUCAAAAAGGGUGGUAAACUCCAUCUAAAGCUAAAUAUUGGCGAGAGACCGAUAGCGAACAAGUACCGUGAGGGAAAGAUGAAAAGGACUCUGGAAAGAGAGUUAAACAGUACGUGAAAUUGCUGAAAGGGAAACGCUCGAUGUCAGUCGCGUCGGCUGGGGGUCAACCUUGCGGUUUCGCUGGGUGUAUUUCCUGGUCGACGGGUCAGCAUCAGUUUUGGUCGUCGUACAAGGGCCAAGGGAAAGUGGCACCCUUCCGGGGGUGUGUUAUAGCCUUUCGGUCGUAUGUGGCGGCUCGGGACUGAGGAGACUCGGUGUGGGCUUCGGCUUACACUAGAGAUGCUGGCAUAAUGGCCUUGAGCGACCCG
rnacentral:rRNA from 1 species